rnacentral:lncRNA from 1 species
UUAUGAUAGCUCAGGAUAAAUGAAUUUAAAACAAUUUAUUUAAAGUGCCUGCUAUUAUUCCGUUAAUUUAUUAGAUGAAUUACUUGAAAAUUGAAUAACAAAUAAUUUAAAUUUAUUAAACAUCUGUUUAAUUUUUAAUUAGCAAGACGAGCGAAUAUUUUAAACUCCAAGAAAAGAAGUUUCUGGUAAUAAAUUUUUAUAAAUGCAAGAUAAUUAUUCGGUGGAAAAGCAUCAGGUAGAUUUUUUGGAGAGUAAGAUAUAUUGUCAGCACCAUAUGUUCCCUAAAAAAAUAUAUAUCAAAUUAAUAUAGCACAUAUUUAAUCAUGAACGUUGAAGAUGAUGAUCAGAAAAAGAGCAUAGUAUCAUGGAUGAUAAGGAGGACAGUCAUCAUCAGUGAUUCCUAUCAUUUCAAUCUGGUCUCCAAUUAGACGAUAAUUUGGAUCAAAUAUUUGACAGAAUUCAGCAUCAAAACUUAUUCCAGUUUUUAUGACAAACUCUCCCAUUGAUGAUGUUAGUAAUUUGUAUGAGAACUGGAAGAAUGGAUACAUUUAUGCAAGGUGAGAAAAUAAGCUUUCGGAGGAAUGGAUUUGAUACAAUGCUCUGCUAGCAGCAGAAAUGAAUCAAUCAGACUAGGAGAUAGACAUCAUCAAGAAAGUGAUUCAAAAUGGAUGAAAAGUAUGUGAAUGAUCAAGAUAAAAAAAUAUAUCUUACUGGACCAGGAGGACAGUUGUCACCAUUAAUUCCAAUUUGUUCAAUCUGAUCUCCAACUACACGAUAAUGUGGCUCGAAUAUUUCACAUAUGUUUAUAUCAAGAGUUACUCCAGUUUUUAAGAUAAACUCUCCCAGUGUUGAUGCUAGUAAAUUGUAUGAUAACUGGAAGAAUAAAUACAUUCAUGAAGACGUUUGAUUAUUGUGAAAUUGGUGAAUAUUCCAGAAUUAUCUUCAUUGACAUAGCUUUCGAAAUAACUAAAAUAUUCAUGGUUGAUUUCGGUAGCCUCAACAUCAUAAAAUACAAUGUCAUAUGAAGACUAGAAAAAAAAUAUGAGGAUUAUCACUCGUUUAUUUUUAGACGGUACAUGAUGAAGUAAAUUUUAAACAAAUAUUAAAAAUACCUCUGCAGUAUUCAAUGGUAUUAAAUACGACAACAAGAUUAGACAAAUUAUAUUCCACAUGGUGAAGGAUUUCAAUCAUCUGGGUAGCAUGGAAAUAGAAAAGCGAUAUUUAAACAAAAUUUCCGGUAUUAUUCUAUCAUAGAAAUUUCGAUAUCAGCAACAAAUCAUUUCUCAUGACUGUGUUAAUAAUUUCUCAUAAUUAUAUAUGUUUUGUCAUAUCAUAUAAAAAUAUUU